CAUCCUCAUCUUAGCAGAACAUUGCAUUAGACUUA
rnacentral:tRNA from 1 species